rnacentral:rRNA from 1 species
UGUAGGCUGCAACUCGCCUACAUGAAGUUGGAAUCGCUAGUAAUCGCGAAUCAGAAUGUCGCGGUGAAUACGUUCCCGGGUCUUGUACACACCGCCCGUCACACCACGAGAGUUUACAACACCCGAAGCCUGUGAGCUAACCGUAAGGAGGCAGCAGUCGAAGGUGGGGUUGAUGAUUGGGGUGAAGUCGUAACAAGGUACC